rnacentral:rRNA from 1 species
GAUGAACGCUGGCGGCGUACCUAAUACAUGCAAGUCGAGCGAACAGACGAGGAGCUUGCUCCUCUGACGUUAGCGGCGGACGGGUGAGUAACACGUGGAUAACCUACCUAUAAGACUGGGAUAACUUCGGGAAACCGGAGCUAAUACCGGAUAAUAUAUUGAACCGCAUGGUUCAAUAGUGAAAGACGGUUUUGCUGUCACUUAAAGAUGGAUCCGCGCCGCAUUAGCUAGUUGGUAAGGUAACGGCUUACCAAGGCGACGAUGCGUAGCCGACCUGAGAGGGUGAUCGGCCACACUGGAACUGAGACACGGUCCAGACUCCUACGGGAGGCAGCAGUAGGGAAUCUUCCGCAAUGGGCGAAAGCCUGACGGAGCAACGCCGCGUGAGUGAUGAAGGUCUUCGGAUCGUAAAACUCUGUUAUUAGGGAAGAACAAAUGUGUAAGUAACUAUGCACGUCUUGACGGUACCUAAUCAGAAAGCCACGGCUAACUACGUG